rnacentral:lncRNA from 1 species
GAGAAUCUUUGGGGUCCUUUGCUUAGAGCGAAGUACGGGGACCCACAAUCCUAGAUAGCCAUGCGUGCUGGAUGAGGAGCAUCCUUCAUUUGGCAGGAAGUCUGUGCGCGCACCUCGAGGGUGCUAUAGAAGAUCAAGUGGGAGAUCGGAGAUGGCCGGACAAUCAGGAUCAUGGAGGACAAAUGGUUAUUUGAGGUUCCAUUGUAGGGCC